rnacentral:tRNA from 1 species
GGGCGGUUAGUUCAGCGGUAGAAUGCACCCUUGACAUGGGUGAGGUCACAGGUUCGAUCCCUGUACCGCCCACCA